CCGUCAGCUACAGCUAUCAUGCAGUCGAGCGAAGGACAGUGAGCUUGCUCCUUUGAAGUUAGCGGCGGACGGGUGAGUAACACGUGGGUAACCUACCUAUAAGACUGGAAUAACUUCGGGAAACCGGAGCUAAUGCCGGAUAACAUUUGGAACCGCAUGGUUCUAAAGUAAAAGAUGGUUUUGCUAUCACUUAUAAAUGGACCCGCGCCGUAUUAGCUAGUUGGUAAGGUAACGGCUUACCAAGGCAACGAUACGUAGCCGACCUGAAAGGGUGAUCGGCCACACUGGAACUGAAACACGGUCCAAACUCCUACGGGAGGCAGCAGUAGGGAAUCUUCCGCAAUGGACGAAAGUCUGACGGAGCAACGCCGCGUGAGUGAUGAAGGUUUUCGGAUCGUAAAACUCUGUUAUUAGGGAAGAACAAAUGUGUAAGUAACUGUGCACAUCUUGACGGUACCUAAUCAGAAAGCCACGGCUAACUACGUGCCAGCAGCCGCGGUAAUACGUAGGUGGCAAGUGUUAUCCGGAAUUAUUGGGCGUAAACAGCGCGUAAA
rnacentral:rRNA from 1 species